rnacentral:misc_RNA from 1 species
AACAAGGCGUACCUGCGGACCUGCGGAAGGAUCAUUACAAGUGACCCCGGUUUACCACCGGGAUGUUCAUAACCCUUUGUUGUCCGACUCUGUUGCCUCCGGGGCGACCCUGCCUUCGGGCGGGGGCUCCGGGUGGACACUUCAAACUCUUGCGUAACUUUGCAGUCUGAGUAAACUUAAUUAAUAAAUUAAAACUUUCAGCAAUGGAUCU